AAACCAUCUUUUGAAAAUAAAUUUAACUCUAAAAUCAAAAUCCUGAUCGUGUUUUUAAUUCUCGUGUAAUUAAUGUCGAUUCUCAUGAUAAUGUAGAAGGGCUAGUUUCCCACAUAAUGAAGGUUUCGUUUUUAAGCGCCAAUGAGGAAACAGAUUACUUUCUUCAAGCGAUGUACCAUUUUACCUGUAAAGUUAACACAGCAAAAGCUUAAAGUUGUGUAAAAAUUACUUGUAUUUUCGUUUGGCAGAGAGUUUUUAUGAUUCAUAUUAAAUUGUAAACAACUAAUGCUAUAUAUCAAAAUACUUUAGGUGUGGUGUGGAAAAUAUAGACCUGAAGUAUUGAAACUUCGAAUUAUGACUGGCUCCCAUAGUCCAGCUCCCUACAGGGUAAUUGGUCCGCUGGCAAAUACUCCGGAGUUCGCCAAAGAAUUUGGUUGUCCACUGGGCUCCCCCAUGAAUCCCGUAAAGAAAUGCUCCGUUUGGUGAUAAAAGUGCCAUGCAGUGCAUCAUUUGAUGGAGGGGGGAAAGAAAUGCAGUGUUUACUCACUAUCAUCUCCCCGUAAGGUUUUAAAUAUUCCUGUGAUCUGAACCGCUACUGAACCGCUUCCUCAUCCAUCUACUGAACCGCUUCCUCAUCCUGUUGGCCAUUUUAAUGUAGUGCUGCCAUCUGUUGGAAAUUGAUAAAACUAUAACGCGUCUUCUGAAGAAAAUGUUUUUUUCAUCUCUUUCAGGCAUUACGGCACAAUCGAAUGAAGUUUCCUUCCUUUUUUAUUUUUAAUAUUUGAAGUGAUGUUUACCGAAGUUUCAACGUGAACGUUGUGAAGUGUGUUAUAAACUCAGCAAGAGCUAUUUAUGCGGAAAAACACCCUCCAUUUCUGGAAAUGUUUGAUGACGUGUCAAGCGGAAUUAGAAAAAGAGAAAUCAUUAUUAUACGAAUAUUUCAGCUUAGAACUCAAAAUAAAUAAAAGCUAAUAUUCGUGUGAUUGAGAACUUAGACAGAUUGAAAUGGAAGUGUUAGUUUUAAUUAACUAUCAUUAAGUUUUAUUCAUCCCAGUAGCUGAGUUGACAUAUAUAAAAAGUGAUCUCUGUUGUUUUUAAUAUAAUUAUAUGUAAAAUAUGAAUAAACACGUUCUGUACAAAA